AUGCAGUCGAGCGGAACGAGUUAUCUGAACCUUCGGGGAACGAUAACGGCGUCGAGCGGCGGACGGGUGAGUAAUGCCUAGGAAAUUGCCCUGAUGUGGGGGAUAACCAUUGGAAACGAUGGCUAAUACCGCAUGAUGCCUACGGGCCAAAGAGGGGGACCUUCGGGCCUCUCGCGUCAGGAUAUGCCUAGGUGGGAUUAGCUAGUUGGUGAGGUAAGGGCUCACCAAGGCGACGAUCCCUAGCUGGUCUGAGAGGAUGAUCAGCCACACUGGAACUGAGACACGGUCCAGACUCCUACGGGAGGCAGCAGUGGGGAAUAUUGCACAAUGGGCGCAAGCCUGAUGCAGCCAUGCCGCGUGUAUGAAGAAGGCCUUCGGGUUGUAAAGUACUUUCAGUCGUGAGGAAGGCGGUGUCGUUAAUAGCGGCAUUGUUUGACGUUAGCGACAGAAGAAGCACCGGCUAACUCCGUGCCAGCAGCCGCGGUAAUACGGAGGGUGCGAGCGUUAAUCGGAAUUACUGGGCGUAAAGCGCAUGCAGGUGGUUUGUUAAGUCAGAUGUGAAAGCCCGGGGCUCAACCUCGGAAUAGCAUUUGAAACUGGCAGACUAGAGUACUGUAGAGGGGGGUAGAAUUUCAGGUGUAGCGGUGAAAUGCGUAGAGAUCUGAAGGAAUACCGGUGGCGAAGGCGGCCCCCUGGACAGAUACUGACACUCAGAUGCGAAAGCGUGGGGAGCAAACAGGAUUAGAUACCCU
rnacentral:rRNA from 1 species